rnacentral:ncRNA from 1 species
UGAAAAGCUAUGACAGGGACAUGUUUCAUUUGGGACGUCUUUAGAGAGGGAAAGCAUUGGCUGCAACUUUUCCGUCGUGAACAAAUGCAUUUACCACCCUCGAGCUCUGCUUCUGAACGAAUUCAAGUAAGAAGCGGCGGCACCAGACCGUUAUCUGACUGCAAUUGAGCCGGGGAUUAUCCUCGGAAAGUUGGGUGGAACCGCGAUUAAACCUCGCCCCUUCA